rnacentral:rRNA from 1 species
GACGAACGCUGGCGGUGUGCUUCACACAUGCAAGUCGAACGAGGUAGCAAUACCUAGUGGCGGACGGGUGAGUAACGCGUGGGAAUCUGCCUUUAGAUGGGGGAUAACGGGCCGAAAGGUCCGCUAAUACCGCAUAUGCCGCAAGGUGAAAGGAGUAAUCCGUCUAAAGAUGAGCCCGCGUCCGAUUAGCUAGUUGGUAGAGUAAGAGCCUACCAAGGCGACGAUCGGUAGCUGGUCUGAGAGGAUGAUCAGCCACAAUGGGACUGAGACACGGCGAAUCAUCCGACGGGAGGCAGCAGUGGGGAAUUUUACGUAAUGGGGGAAACCCUGACGUAGCGACACCGCGUGAGCGAAGAAGCCCUUUGGGGUGUAAAGCUCUGUCAGCUGGAACGAAAACAAUGACGGUACCAGCAGAGGAAGCAUCGGCUAACUACGUGCCAGCAGCCGCCGCCG